rnacentral:rRNA from 1 species
GUGGGGAAUAUUGGACAAUGGGCGAAAGCCUGAUCCAGCCAUGCCGCGUGUGUGAAGAAGGUCUUCGGAUUGUAAAGCACUUUAAGUUGGGAGGAAGGGCAGUAAGUUAAUACCUUGCUGUUUUGACGUUACCAACAGAAUAAGCACCGGCUAACUUCGUGCCAGCAGCCGCGGUAAUACGAAGGGUGCAAGCGUUAAUCGGAAUUACUGGGCGUAAAGCGCGCGUAGGUGGUUCAGCAAGUUGGAGGUGAAAUCCCCGGGCUCAACCUGGGAACUGCCUCAAAAACUACUGAGCUAGAGUACGGUAGAGGGUAGUGGAAUUUCUGGUGUAGCAGUGAAAUGCGUAGAUAUAGGAAGGAACACCAGUGGCGAAGGCGACUACCUGGACUGAUACUGACACUGAGGUGCGAAAGCGUGGGGAGCAAACAGGAUUAGAUACCCGUGUAGUCC